ACUCCUAAAACGGCUAUUGCAUUAUCUGUCGACCUGCAUGAAUAAAAUACUAGGAGAGAAAAAAGCAACCAGACAAUAUUCUGCGAUAUUUCCAUUCUGUUUCUCAUUCCGGCUUCCGAUCUCUCUCUUUCUUCGCCGCAGUGGCAGUGCCGUUUUGACUUCGUUGCAGGGGAUUGCCUCUCUAAACAAAAAAAAAAAAAAAAAAAAAAAAAAAAAAAA
rnacentral:sRNA from 1 species